CACCAGCAGGUUCUUAGAGAGCUGCAGUGCCUUCCUUCUCCCCACUCUUGUGGAAGGUCAACUGAACCUCAGCCCUCUGGAGGCCCCAGGGCAAGAAUCAGAAUCUGAUCCUGGAACUGGAAUGGAUUUUUAUGAGCAAUUCUUCAUCCCUGUUGAUACACACUACAAGGUGAAAGUGUGCAUUCCAGAGAGCAAACUCACAGAAAAUGGAAGUAUACAGCUUGUUUUAAGGAAGAAGGCCAUAGCUGAGCAUGUCCUGAUGCAUGGAGCAAAUGGAGAAAAAUGGAGCAAAACUCCAGGUAAUUGGAAAAUUUGGAGUUGUAAGAAA